rnacentral:tRNA from 1 species
CAUUAAGAAGCUUUUAUAGCACUAGCCUUUUAAGCUAGAGAUGGAGACUAAUGCUCCCUUAAUGA